UACGGAGGAUCCAAGCGUUAUCCGGAUUUAUUGGGUUUAAAGGGUGCGUAGGCGGCCUAUUAAGUCAGGGGUGAAAGACGGUAGCUUAACUAUCGCAGUGCCUUUGAUACUGAUGGGCUUGAAUGUACUUGAGGUAGGCGGAAUGUGACAAGUAGCGGUGAAAUGCAUAGAUAUGUCACAGAACACCAAUUGCGAAGGCAGCUUACUAUGGUGUCAUUGACGCUGAGGCACGAAAGCGUGGGGAUCAAACAGG
rnacentral:rRNA from 1 species